AUCACUUUGUGGCCUUUUGACUAAAAUACUGAGUAGUAUCUGUUCUCAUCAGUUUAAUAUAUGAUACACCCUCAACUUUAAGACCUUACAUCCUCAGUUUAAAGACCUUACACUAAAUGGAUUUUGAGGAGUAGGAGAUAGACUGGGAGCUUGUUCCGUCCACUGCACACAUCGACCUUGUACACCUCCAGGGAGCAGUAGCUGCU
ensembl:snRNA U2 U2 spliceosomal RNA